rnacentral:rRNA from 1 species
AUUGAACGCUGGCGGCAUGCCUUACACAUGCAAGUCGAACGGCAGCACGGGGCAACCUGGUGGCGAGUGGCGAACGGGUGAGUAAUGCAUCGGAACGUACCUUUCAGAGGGGGAUAACGUAGCGAAAGUUACGCUAAUACCGCAUAUUCUGUGAGCAGGAAAGCAGGGGAUCGCAAGACCUUGCGCUGAUUGAGCGGCCGAUGUCAGAUUAGCUAGUUGGUGAGGUAAAGGCUCACCAAGGCGACGAUCUGUAGCGGGUCUGAGAGGAUGAUCCGCCACACUGGAACUGAGACACGGUCCAGACUCCUACGGGAGGCAGCAGUGGGGAAUUUUGGACAAUGGGGGCAACCCUGAUCCAGCCAUGCCGCGUGAGUGAAGAAGGCCUUCGGGUUGUAAAGCUCUUUCGGCCGGGAAGAAAUCGCACGGGCUAAUACCCUGUGUGGAUGACGGUACCGGAAUAAGAAGCACCGGCUAACUACGUGCCAGCCGCCGCUGUAAGAC